AGAGUUUGAUCCUGGCUCAGGAUGAACGCUAGCGGCAGGCCUAACACAUGCAAGUCGAGGGGGAGGUUACUUUCGGGUAACUGAGACCGGCGUACGGGUGCGUAACGCGUAUACAAUCUGCCUUUCACUGGGGGAUAGCCCGAAGAAAUUUGGAUUAAUACCCCAUAGUAUAUAGGGACGGCAUCGUUUUUAUAUUAAAGCUACGGUGGUGAAAGAUGAGUAUGCGUUCUAUUAGCUAGUUGGAGAGGUAACGGCUCCCCAAGGCGAUGAUAGAUAGGGGUUCUGAGAGGGAUGUCCCCCACACUGGUACUGAGAUACGGACCAGACUCCUACGGGAGGCAGCAGUGAGGAAUAUUGGACAAUGGUCGGAAGACUGAUCCAGCCAUGCCGCGUGCAGGAUGACGGCCUUAUGGGUUGUAAACUGCUUUUGUAAGGGAAGAAUAAGGGCUACGUGUAGUUUGAUGACGGUACCUUACGAAUAAGCAUCGGCUAACUCCGUGCCAGCAGCCGCGGUAAUACGGAGGAUGCGAGCGUUAUCCGGAAUCAUUGGGUUUAAAGGGUCUGUAGGCGGGCUGGUAAGUCAGAGGUGAAAGCGCUCAGCUCAACUGAGCAACUGCCUUUGAAACUGUUGGUCUUGAAUGGUUGUGAAGUAGUUGGAAUGUGUAGUGUAGCGGUGAAAUGCUUAGAUAUUACACAGAACACCGAUAGCGAAGGCAUAUUACUAACAAUUGAUUGACGCUGAUGGACGAAAGCGUGGGGAGCGAACAGGAUUAGAUACCCUGGUAGUCCACGCU
rnacentral:rRNA from 1 species